rnacentral:rRNA from 1 species
UACGCAGGGGGCAAAAGUUAUACGGAAUCACUGGGUUUAAAGGGUGCGCAGGCGGCUUAAUUAGUCAGAGGUGAAAGGCUGUGGCUCAACCAUGGGAUUGCCUUUGAUACUGUUAGGCUUGAAUCAGGCUGAGGUUGGCAGAAUGUGGCAUGUAGCGGUGAAAUGCAUAGAUAUGCCAUAGAAUACCGAAUGCGAAGGCAGCUGACUGGCACUUGAUUGACGCUGAGGCACGAAAGCGUGGGGAGCUAACAGG